AACGAACGCUGGCGGCAUGCCUAACACAUGCAAGUCGAACGAGACCUUCGGGUCUAGUGGCGCGCGGGUGCGUAACGCGUGGGAAUCUGCCCUUGGGUGCGGAAUAACAGUUAGAAAUGACUGCUAAUACCGCAUAAUGACUCCGGUCCAGAGAUUUAUCGCCCAGGGAUGAGCCCGCGUCGGAUUAGCUAGUUGAUAGGGUAAAAGCCUACCAAGGCAACGAUCCGUAGCUGGUCUGAGAGGAUGAUCAGCCACACUGGGACUGAGACACGGCCCAGACUCCUACGGGAGGCAGCAGUGGGGAAUAUUGGACAAUGGGCGAAAGCCUGAUCCAGCAAUGCCGCGUGAGUGAUGAAGGCCUUAGGGUUGUAAAGCUCUUUUACCCAGGAUGAUAAUGACAGUACCGGGAGAAUAAGCCCCGGCUAACUCCGUGCCAGCCGCCGCGGUAAAAC
rnacentral:rRNA from 1 species